AAGCAGUUGUUGCUCUACCACUUGCAAGUGUGAAAGAACAACCAAUAACUUGAGAGAACAACGAUCAUGCAAGAACAAGGACAAAUUCAGAUUCCAACUCCAACAUUACAAGUCUCCACACAAAGCAAAGAUCAUGUUUCUUACAUGCGAGCCAUAUUAAUGAUAGAAGAAGUUCAUGUACAUCACCAGUCUUAAAACUCCAGAGACACUUGGAUAACUUUAUAGCUCCCAGCUGUGUCCAAAGUCAGUUUUCACUUCUUCCCUCGCAGCUUCGCACCAAGAGCCCUCUCCAGUUUUCCUAUUAUCUGUUGAUUAGGAAUUGCUUUUCCAGACUCAUACUCUUGUAUUAUCUGGGGCUUCUCAUU
rnacentral:misc_RNA from 1 species